rnacentral:tRNA from 1 species
GGGGAUGUAGCUCAGUGGUAGAGCACCUGCUUCGCAUGUUUGAGGUCCUGGGUUCAAUCCCCAGCAUCUCCA